AUGGAAGCCCCAGCGCAGCUUGUCUGCCUCCUGCUGCUCUGGCUCCCAGGCACCUCUGGAGAAAUUGUCCUGACACAGUCUCCAGCCUCCCUAUCAUUGUCUCCAGGAGAAAGGGCCACGAUCUCCUGCAGGGCCAGUCAGAGUGUUAGCAACUACUUAAACUGGUACCAGCAGAGACCUGGGCAGGCUCCCAGGCUCCUCAUCUAUUAUGCAAACAGCAGGCCCGAUGGCAUCCCAGCCCGCUUCAGUGGCAGCGGGUCUGGGACAGACUUCACGCUCACCAUCAGCAGCCUGGAGCCUGAGGAUGCCGCCACUUACUACUGUCAGCAUUAUAUGGGUUAUACUUCCACAGUGACACAGGCCUUAACAAAAACCACCCAGGGCGCAGAUGUCUGA